UACGGAGGGUGCGAGCGUUGUCCGGAAUCACUGGGCGUAAAGGGCGCGUAGGUGGCGACUCAAGUUAACGGUGAAAGCUCGACGCUUAACGUCGAGUCGGCCGUCGAAACUGGGACGCUUGAGCACUGUAGAGGCAGAUGGAAUUCCUGGAUGUAGCGGUGAAAUGACGCAGAUAUCAGGAGGAACACCGGUGGCGAAGGCGGGGUCUCUGGGGCCGAUACUGACGCUGAGGAGCGAAAGCGUGGGGAGCGAACAGG
rnacentral:rRNA from 1 species